AACGAACGCUGGCGGCAGGCUUAACACAUGCAAGUCGAACGCACCUUUCGGGGUGAGUGGCAGACGGGUGAGUACGCGUGGGAAUCUACCCUUCUCUACGGGAUAGCUCCGGGAAACUGGAAUUAAUACCGUAUACGUCCUGAGGGAGAAAGAUUUAUCGGGGAAGGAUGAGCCCGCGUUGGAUUAGCUAGUUGGUGGGGUAAAGGCCUACCAAGGCGACGAUCCAUAGCUGGUCUAAGAGGAUGAUCAGCCACAUUGGGACUGAGACACGGCCCAAACUCCUACGGGAGGCAGCAGUGGGGAAUAUUGGACAAUGGGCGCAAGCCUGAUCCAGCCAUGCCGCGUGAGUGAUGAAGGCCCUAGGGUUGUAAAGCUCUUUCAGUGGGGACGAUAAUGACGGUACCCACAGAAGAAGCCCCGGCUAACUUCGUG
rnacentral:rRNA from 1 species